CUUGGCGGACAAGGCAAGCAAUGCUACUCAAUCUGCCAAGGAAUCAAGCCAAGAGGCUGGCCAGCAGAUGAAGGAUAAGGCACAAGGGGCUUGUGAUGCCGUUAAGGAUAAAGUUGGAGCAAACAAAUGAAAAUCAUAUUGGACCUCAUCAAUCGAGCAAGCCUGCCCAAAUAAAUUUUGUGCUUAUUAAAUUUUAAUUUAUGUUUGGUCCUUAACCUUUAGGUUGAAUGUCAAUUUGAUCCUUAACAUUUCAAAUGUGUUAAUUUAGUCCUUUUGAAUGGAAGAUAUAGAUAAUGUGUCAA